UACAGAGGGUGCAAGCGUUGUUCGGAAUUAUUGGGCGUAAAGCGCGUGUAGGCGGCUUGGCAAGUCGGGUGUGAAAGCCCUCAGCUCAACUGAGGAAGUGCGCCCGAAACUGCUGAGCUCGAGUGCCGGAGAGGGUGGCGGAAUUCCCCAAGUAGAGGUGAAAUUCGUAGAGAUGGGGAGGAACACCGGUGGCGAAGGCGGCCACCUGGACGGUGACUGACGCUGAGACGCGAAAGCGUGGGUAGCAAACAGG
rnacentral:rRNA from 1 species